GAAAGGGGACGAGUGCGAGAUCCUGGGCUACGGGCGCAGCCUGCGCAGCGUGCUCACCGGCAUCGAGACGUUCCACCGGGCGCUGCCGCAGGCCCAGGCCGGGGACAACGUGGGGGCGCUGCUGCGGGGGCUGAGACGGGAGGACGUGAGGAGGGGGAUGGUGCUGGGGGCCCCGGGGACCCUGCGGGCGCACGGACACGUCGAGGCACAGGUGUACGUGCUGAGCCCCCAGGAGGGCGGGCGCCACAAGCCGUUUGUGGCCAAUUACAGCCCCGUCAUGUUCUCGCAGACCUGGGACAUCGCCUGCAGGGUCCUGCUGCCCCCCGGCAAGGUACCGCCCCAUAGCGACCCAUAGAGACCCAUAGCGCCCCAUAGCGACCCAUAGAGACCCAUAACUGACCCAUAACUGACCCAUAGCUGCACCCCGCAAGGUACCGCCCCACAGCGACCUAUAACUGACCCAUAGCUGACCCAUAGCGCCCCAUAAGUGACCCAUAGCUGCCCCCCGGCAAGGUACCGCCCCAUAGCUGACCCACAGCGCCCCAUAGCGCCCCACAAGUGACCCAUAGCGCCCCAUAAGUGACCCAUAACUGACCCAUAGCUGCACCCCGCAAGGUACCGCCCCACAGCGACCUAUAACUGACCCAUAGCUGACCCAUAGCGCCCCAUAAGUGACCCAUAGUGCCCCAUAGCACGCCAUAGAGACCCAUAGUGACCCAUAAGUAACCCAUAGCUGCCCCCUGGCAAGGUAGCGCCCCACAGCUGACCUAUAAUUGACCCAUAAGUGACCCAUAGUGGACCCAUGG
rnacentral:lncRNA from 1 species